rnacentral:rRNA from 1 species
UGGGGAAUAUUGGACAAUGGGCGAAAGCCUGAUCCAGCAAUGCCGCGUGAGUGAUGAAGGCCUUAGGGUUGUAAAGCUCUUUUACCAGGGAUCCGAUAAUGACAGUACCUGGAGAAUAAGCUCCGGCUAACUCCGUGCCAGCAGCCGCGGUAAUACGGAGGGAGCUAGCGUUGUUCGGAAUUACUGGGCGUAAAGCGUACGUAGGCGGUGACUCAAGUCAGAGGUGAAAGCCUGGAGCUCAACUCCAGAACUGCCUUUGAAACUAGGUCGCUAGAAUCACGGAGAGGUGAGUGGAAUUCCGAGUGUAGAGGUGAAAUUCGUAGAUAUUCGGAAGAACACCAGUGGCGAAGGCGACUUGCUGGACUUAUGGUGACGCUGAGACGCGAAAGCGUGGGGAGCAAACAGGAUUAGAUACCCAAGUAGUCCCUGAGCGGGCUGGCAAGGCGCAU